rnacentral:rRNA from 1 species
AGUGAACGCUGGCGGUAGGCCUAACACAUGCAAGUCGAACGGCAGCACAGUAAGAGCUCGCUCUUACGGGUGGCGAGUGGCGGACGGGUGAGGAAUACAUCGGAAUCUACUUUUUCGUGGGGGAUAACGUAGGGAAACUUACGCUAAUACCGCAUACGACCUACGGGUGAAAGCAGGGGAUCUUCGGACCUUGCGCGAUUGAAUGAGCCGAUGUCGGAUUAGCUAGUUGGCGGGGUAAAGGCCCACCAAGGCGACGAUCCGUAGCUGGUCUGAGAGGAUGAUCAGCCACACUGGAACUGAGACACGGUCCAGACUCCUACGGGAGGCAGCAGUGUGGAAUAUUGGACAAUGGGCGCAAGCCUGAUCCAGCCAUACCGCGUGGGUGAAGAAGGCCUUCGGGUUGUAAAGCCCUUUUGUUGGGAAAGAAAAGCAGCAGGUUAAUACCCCGCUGUUCUGACGGUACCCAAAGAAUAAGCACCGGCUAACUUCGUG